rnacentral:rRNA from 1 species
GACGAACGCUGGCGGCGUGCUUAACACAUGCAAGUCGAGCGGUAAGGCCCUUUCGGGGGUACGACGAGCGGCGAACGGGUGAGUAACACGUGGGUGACCUGCCCUCCAGCUCUGGGAGUAAGCCCGGGAAACCGUAGGGUCUAAUACCGGAUAUGACUCCAUGACGCAUGUUGUGGGGUGGGAAAGCCUUGUGCGGCUGAGGAUGGGCCCGCGGCCUAUCAGCUUGUUGGUGGGGUGAUGGCCACCAAGGCGACGACGGGUAGCCGGCCUG